GCGCUUGCGCGAAUCAGGGAAUAAGUUAUCCCUGAAUUCUAUGAGGGAAGGUGGGCGGAGGACUGCGAAGGUUGUCGGUUUGGCGUCGCGUGAAUUGAUGGCGGUGGUUAUGGCUUUCUGGCAGCGUCUUUCGACCCUGGCCGGCCUGUGCGUCUUGCUAUGCAUCUGUCCGACGAUGGAACUGGACACGGUGUCCUCUGUGUCUCCUUCGCCAACUCCUGCUCCGUCAUGUUCUGAUUUUACUGGAAUGAAAUGUGAAGUGUGUAUAAAAAAUACUGCAUGUCUUUGGUGCAGUCCAAAUUCUACUUGUAUGGAUUAUCCUGUAAACAAAAUCAUGCCGCCAUCAUCGUUGUGCUCGCUUACGAAGUCUUACUGGGCAAUAUGUUGGGGUAUGUAAUCUUGUAUAUAUGUUAAAUUAGGACAGCCCAGAACAUAAUUGCAAUGU
rnacentral:lncRNA from 1 species